CUGUUAUCACAAUGUAUACAGCUCUCAUUAUUGCUGGCUCCUGUACUAUUAUCUCAUGCUAUUCUAUUUAUGGUGGCUGUCUCAUCUUUACAGCUUUUACCAUGAUAGGACAUGAUCAGAAAAGACUGGACAUCAAAUACCUUUGAAAUAGCUGUGAAUUAUACAUUAUGCACAGUUGUAGAAACAAAGUGUGCAUACUUAGGCAAUUUGGGAAGGUGUUUACUAUCUAAAAGAGCCUGGACCUUGUUUCUGAGAAAGCCCUGCCUCUUGUUUUCAUGAGCGUCACUCUUGAGGCUGACACUUCGUAGUUCCUGAAAUUUGCC